rnacentral:sRNA from 1 species
GCCAGGUGCAGUGGCAUAUGCCUGUAAUCCCAGCUGCAUGGGAGGCUGAGGCAGGAGGAUCAUUUUGAGCCCAGGUGUUAAGGCCAGAGUGUGCAAUAUAGUGAGACCCUGUCUCAA